GACGAACGCUGGCGGCGUGCCUAAUACAUGCAAGUAGAACGCACAGGUUAUACCGUAGCUUGCUACACCAUAGACUGUGAGUUGCGAACGGGUGAGUAACGCGUAGGUAACCUGCCUGGUAGCGGGGGAUAACUAUUGGAAACGAUAGCUAAUACCGCAUAAUAUUAAUUAUUGCAUGAUAAUUAAUUGAAAGGUGCAAUUGCACCACUACCAGAUGGACCUGCGUUGUAUUAGCUAGUAGGUGAGGUAACGGCUCACCUAGGCGACGAUACAUAGCCGACCUGAGAGGGUGAUCGGCCACACUGGGACUGGGACACGGCCCAGACGCCUACGGGAGGCAGCAGGAGGGAAUCUUCGGCAAUGGGCGAAAGUCUGACCGAGCAACGCCGCGUGAGGGAAGAAGGUUUUCGGAUCGUAAAGCUCUGUUGUAAGAGAAGAAAGGGUGUGAGAGUGGAAAGUUCACACUGUGACGGUAUCUUACCAGAAAGGGACGGCUAACUACGUG
rnacentral:rRNA from 1 species